GACGAACGCUGGCGGCGUGCUUAACACAUGCAAGUCGAGCGGAAAGGCCCUGCUUUUGUGGGGUGCUCGAGUGGCGAACGGGUGAGUAACACGUGAGUAACCUGCCCUUGACUUUGGGAUAACUUCAGGAAACUGGGGCUAAUACCGGAUAGGAGCUCCUGCUGCAUGGUGGGGGUUGGAAAGUUUCGGCGGUUGGGGAUGGACUCGCGGCUUAUCAGCUUGUUGGUGGGGUAGUGGCUUACCAAGGCUUUGACGGGUAGCCGGCCUGAGAGGGUGACCGGCCACAUUGGGACUGAGGUACGGCCCAGACUCCUACGGGAGGCAGCAGUGGGGAAUAUUGCACAAUGGGCGGAAGCCUGAUGCAGCAACGCCGCGUGCGGGAUGACGGCCUUCGGGUUGUAAACCGCUUUCGCCUGUGACGAAGCGUGAGUGACGGUAAUGGGUAAAGAAGCACCGGCUAACUACGUG
rnacentral:rRNA from 1 species